GUGACCUGAUACAGGCCAGUAAAAAGCAAGGACAAUUUAGGGAGGCUUUCAAAAGGUGUUUCUUCAUUCUGAGGAAAAGAUAAAUAUCCUAUGUGUGUAAGAGCUGGAAUAUUGCAGCUCCCUAUCUGCCACCCUAUGGAUAAAGACAAUGCAUAAGAGGGCAACCAAAAAAAUUAAUGAGAUACCAGAACAAUCGGUCACUGCCUUGCCUUUAUUUUUGUUGUUGUUACAUAGGCAGUAAAUGCCCUUUAUUAAGAAAAUUUAAGUUGGGUUUCCUACUACCAUAGGCAAAAAUCAUCUUAAUAUAGUGGUCUUGAAUUUAGCCAAUGAAUUACUGAAACCCAGCCAUGCCUGUGUCUUAUAUAACAUCACUGUGAGCGAAAUGGACUCAAAUCAAGACAAAGUUGAUGAUAGAGUAAUGCAUUUCUGCAUUAUUAAAUAUCCAAAAACAAAUCCAUACUACACAUAAGAAAGAUUUAAUUAAUGAUGUUUAAAUUCAUUUUUCCAAUUUUAUAAUAGAGUAUAAAAACGAAUAUAAGCUUCAAGAGGGCAGGGAUGUCGAAUUUCUUUGUCACUGUAUUUCUUUGCCUCUGUAUUCUCCGGGCCUAGAAUAAUGUCUGAUACCUAAUAGUUGUUUACUAAAAUGUCAAAUGUCAGCAUUACAGUAAUGUGAAAAGGUCUAGGAUUGAAUCUCAGCUCUCAUACUUUCUAAU
rnacentral:lncRNA from 1 species